GAUGAAGAACGUAGCGAAAUGCGAUACGUAAUGUGAAUUGCAGAAUUCAGUGGAUCAUCGAAUCUUUGAACGCAUAUUGCGCUCUUUGGUAUUCCGAAGAGCAUGCUUGUUUGAGUAUCAGUAAACACCUCAACCUCUUCUUGAUUUUUCAAAAGGAGGGUGGACUUGAGCUAUCCCAACAACCUUUACCGGUCGGCGGGCGGCUUGAAAUGCAGGUGCAGCUGGACUUUUAUCUGAGCUAAAAGCAUAUCUAUUUAGUCCUCGUCAAACAGGAUUAUUACUUUUGCUGCAGCUAACAUAAAGGAUAAUUGUCCUCUUUGCUGACUGAUGCAGGAUUUUACGACACUUUAUGUGUUGUUCAACUCGAUCUCAAAUCAAGUAAGACUACCCGCUGAACUUAAGCAUAUCAAUAAGCGGAGGA
rnacentral:misc_RNA from 1 species